rnacentral:rRNA from 1 species
GACGAACGCUGGCGGCGUGCUUAACACAUGCAAGUCGAACGGAAAGGCCCUGAUUUUGUGGGGUGCACGAGUGGCGAACGGGUGGGUAACACGUGAGUAACCUGCCCUUGACUUUGGGAUAACUUCAGGAAACUGGGGCUAAUACCGGAUAGGAGCUCCUGCUGCAUGGUGGGGGUUGGAAAGUUUCGGCGGUUGGGGUUGGUCUCGCGGCUUAUCCGCUGGUUGGUGGGGUAGUGGCUUACCAAGGCUUGGACGGGUAGCCGGACUGGGAGGGUGACCGGCCACAUUGGGACUGAGAUACGGCCCAGACUCCUACGGGAGGCAGCAGUGGGGAAUAGUGCACAAUGGGCGGAAGCCUGAUGCAGCAACGCCGCGUGCGGGAUGACGGCCUUCGGGUUGUAAACCGCUUUCGCCUGUGACGAAGCGGGAGUGACGGUAAUGGGUAAAGAAGCACCGGCUAACUACGUG